rnacentral:antisense_RNA from 16 species
CGCAAUAGUGAGGGGAUUUUUGUUGGUGUGGCUAUAUGUCACCUAUUUUUAUUGCGUUUACUUAGCCAAUGAGUAAAAAACGCAAUGGCACAGC